rnacentral:rRNA from 1 species
GACGAACGCUGGCGGCGUGCCUAAUACAUGCAAGUAGAACGCUGAAGGAGGAGCUUGCUUCUCUGGAUGAGUUGCGAACGGGUGAGUAACGCGUAGGUAACCUGCCUUGUAGCGGGGGAUAACUAUUGGAAACGAUAGCUAAUACCGCAUAAGAGUAGAUGUUGCAUGACAUUUGCUUAAAAGGUGCAAUUGCAUCACUACCAGAUGGACCUGCGUUGUAUUAGCUAGUUGGGGGGGUAACGGCUCACCAAGGCGACGUACCAUAGCCGCCCGGAGAGGGGGAUCGGCACAACGGGAACGGGGCCAGGGCCAAGACUCCUCGGGGAGGCGGAGUAGGGGAAUUUUGGCAAAGGGCGGAAGGCUUGACGAGGAAAGCCGGGGGGGUGGAGGAAGGUUUCGGAUCGUAAAGCUCUGUUGUAAGAGAAGAACGAGUGUGAGAGUGGAAAGUUCACACUGUGACGGUAUCUUACCAGAAAGGGACGGCUAACUACGUG